GCCCCAGUAACGGCGAGUGAAGCGGCAACAGCUCAAAUUUGAAAUCUGGCCCCCGGGUCCGAGUUGUAAUUUGCAGAGGAUGCUUCGGGCGAGGUGCCUUCCGAGUUCCCUGGAACGGGACGCCACAGAGGGUGAGAGCCCCGUCUGGUCGGACACCGAGCCCGUGUGAAGCUCCUUCGAAGAGUCGAGUAGUUUGGGAAUGCUGCUCAAAACGGGAGGUAUAUGUCUUCUAAAGCUAAAUAUUGGCCAGAGACCGAUAGCGCACAAGUAGAGUGAUCGAAAGAUGAAAAGCACUUUGAAAAGAGGGUUAAAAAGUACGUGAAAUUGUUGAAAGGGAAGCGCCCAUGACCAGACUUGGGCCCGGUGAAUCACCCGGCGUUCUCGCCGGUGCACUUUGCCGGGCACAGGCCAGCAUCAGUUUGGCGCGGGGAGAAAGGCUUCGGGAACGUGGCUCCCUCGGGAGUGUUAUAGCCCGCUGCGCAAUACCCUGCGCCGGACUGAGGUACGCGCAUCGCAAGGAUGCUGGCGUAAUGGUCAUCAGCGACCCGUCUUGAAACACGGACCAAGGAGUCGUCUUCGUAUGCGAGUGUUCGGGUGUCAAACCCCUACGCGGAAUGAAAGUGAACGCAGGUGAGAGCUUCGGCGCAUCAUCGACCGAUCCUGAUGUUCUCGGAUGGAUUUGAGUAAGAGCAUACGGGGCCGGACCCGAAAGAAGGUGAACUAUGCCUGUAUAGGGUGAAGCCAGAGGAAACUCUGGUGGAAGCUCGCAGCGGUUCUGACGUGCGAAUCGAUCGUCAAAUAUGGGCAUGGGGGCGAAAGACUAAUCGAACCUUCUAGUAGCUGGUUUCCGCCGAAGUUUCCCUCAGGAUAGCAGUGUUGGACUCAGUUUUAUGAGGUAAAGCGAAUGAUUAGGGACUCGGGGGCGCUAUAUUGCCUUCAUCCAUUCUCAAACUUUAAAUAUGUAAGAAGCCCUUGUUACUUAACUGAACGUGGGCCUUCGAAUGUAGCAACACUAGUGGGCCAUUUUUGGUAAGCAGAACUGGCGAUGCGGGAUGAACCGAACGCGAGGUUAAGGUGCCGGAGUGGACGCUCAUCAGACACCACAAAAGGUGUUAGUACAUCUUGACAGCAGGACGGUGGCCAUGGAAGUCGGAAUCCGCUAAGGACUGUGUAACAACUCACCUGCCGAAUGUACUAGCCCUGAAAAUGGAUGGCGCUCAA
rnacentral:rRNA from 1 species